rnacentral:rRNA from 1 species
GACGAACGCUGGCGGCGUGCUUAACACAUGCAAGUCGAACGGAAAGGCCCUGCUCUUGUUGGUUUCUCGAGUGGCGCACGGGUGAGUAACACGUGAGUAACCUGCCCUUGACUUUUUGAUAACUUCAGGAAACUCGGGCUAUUACCGGAUAUGAUCUCCUGCUGCAUGUUGUGUGUUGGAAAGUUUCGGCGUUUGGGGAUGUACUCGCGGCUUAUCAGCUUGUUGGUGUGGUAGUGGCUUACCAAGGCUUUGACGGGUAGCCUGCCUGAGAGGGUGACCGGCCACAAUGGGACUGAGAUACGGAGCAGACGGCUACGGGAGGCAGCAGUGGGGAAUAUGGCACAAUGGGCGGAAGCCUGAUGCAGAAACGCCGCGUGCGGGAUGACGGCCUUCGGGUUGUAAACCGCUGUCGACUGUGACGAAGCGUGAGUGACGGUAAUGGGUAAAGAAGCACCGGCUAACUACGUG